UUGAAUUCAGUGAUCCUAUGCUGCCGAGAAAAGCCUCUAGUGAGUUCAUACACGGCCCGUACCCCAAACCGACACAGGUGAUCAGGUAGAGAAUACCAAGGCGAUCGAGAGAACUGUGGUAAGGAACUCGGCAAAAUGCCGCCGUAACUUCGGGAGAAGGGGGACCAUGCCCGGUGAACAUCUUCACGGUGGGAGCUGGGUGUGGUCGCAGAGACCAGAGAGAAGCGACUGUUUACUAAAAACACAGGUCCGUGCGAAGACGUAAGUCGAUGUAUACGGACUGACGCCUGCCCGGUGCUGGAAGGUUAAGAGGACCGGUUAGCCGUAAGGCGAAGCUGAGAAUUUAAGCCCCAGUAAACGGCGGUGGUAACUAUAACCAUCCUAAGGUAGCGAAAUUCCUUGUCGGGUAAGUUCCGACCUGCACGAAUGGCGUAACGACUUCUCUGCUGUCUCGACCACAGACUCGGCGAAAUUGCACUACGAGUAAAGAUGCUCGUUACGCGCGGCAGGACGAAAAGACCCCGGGACCUUUACUAUAGCUUGGUAUUGGCGUUCGAUUCGGUUAGUGUAGGAUAGGUGGGAGACUGUGAAGCAUGCACGCCAGUGUGUGUGGAGUCGUUGUUGAAAUACCACUCUGAUCGUAUUGGACGUCUAACCUCGGCCCAUGAUCUGGGUUAGGGACAGUGCCUGGUGGGUAGUUUAACUGGGGCGGUUGCCUCCUAAAGAGUAACGGAGGCGCCCAAAGGUUCCCUCAGCCUGGAUGGCAAUCAGGUGUUGAGUGCAAGUGCACAAGGGAGCUUGACUGUGAGACUGACACGUCGAGCAGGGACGAAAGUCGGGACUAGUGAUCCGGCACCGGCAAGUGGAAGCGGUGUCGCUCAACGGAUAAAAGGUACCCCGGGGAUAACAGGCUGAUCUUCCCCAAGAGUCCAUAUCGACGGGAUGGUUUGGCACCUCGAUGUCGGCUCGUCGCAUCCUGGGGCUGGAGUAGGUCCCAAGGGUUGGGCUGUUCGCCCAUUAAAGCGGCACGCGAGCUGGGUUUAGAACGUCGUGAGACAGUUCGGUCUCUAUCCGCCGCGCGCGUAAGAAACUUGAGGAAGGCUGUCCCUAGUACGAGAGGACCGGGACGGACGAACCUCUGGUGUGCCAGUUGUUCCACCAGGAGCAUGGCUGGUUAGCUACGUUCGGAAGGGAUAACCGCUGAAAGCAUCUAAGCGGGAAGCCUGUUCCAAGAUGAGGUUUCUCACCACCUUGCGUGGUUAAGGCCCCCUACAGACCAUGGGGUUGAUAGGCCGGAACUGGAAGCGCAGCAAUGCGUGGAGGUGACCGGUACUAAUAGGCCGAGGGCGU
rnacentral:rRNA from 1 species